UGGCCUCAGCACGUCUGGUCACAACAGUCCCCCUACUGCACAGGAAGGCAGAGGGGCUAAUAAGGGAUUAUGACUCACCAUGGCCACUUCAUGAGUCAGCCACUAUUGAGACAACACCCAGGUCCCCUGCGCCGGAUGGAGACUUGUCCUUUGCCACAUGUCACCUCCCCAUUCUUUUGACUGAUGACUGGAGGGACUUUUCUACACUUUCCUUCAGGUCAGUUUUUGAAGGAAGAGGUGAGGAGGUCCGGAAGUAGCAGCUCCUCCCCCACCCUCUCCCCCACCUCACCCCUCCUCCUUCUCCAGGACCGUCCCUUGGGGUACAGCCAGGAAAGGCAAAAACAGUGCUCUGAUGUCAAAGGAGGAAAUCAUGUUGCCAAAGGGGAAACUGAAGCCCAGAAGCUUGAAAUAAGUUUUCCAAGGCUCCGUGUUUCUGAGGGACUCCUCAUCUGCCAAACUACCCGAACAUCUCUGAUGCUUUACAGGAAAUACAGAAAUCAGACUGACGAAGAAGCACUUUCAUCAAUUGAGGGUCAUCUGAGGAACUGACCUUGACAGAGAAAUCUGCACCCAGCCUUCUGAUCUCGCCAAGCCCUGGAGGUUUUUAAUUGCCCCUGUAAAAAAAAAAAAAAAAAAAAAAAAAAAAAAAAAGGAAAAAAAUCAUUGCUCUUUCUAGAAACCUUGAGUUUGGGACUUUGAGCUGAGUGAUUACAUCACGACAAAACCCCAUUUUGACUUGAUCCCAUCAGGAGGCAUUUACUGGCACAUUCAGAACCUGGUGGCAGAAGCCAGCGCUCACCCAGAGAGACAGAAAGCAGGUUUCCAGGGGCUGAAAGGGAGAUGAAGGGAAAUGGCUAGUGGGGACAGGGUUUCUUUUUGGGGGGAUGGAACAUUCUGGAAUUAGUGGUAAGGGCUGCACAACACAAUGAAUAUACUAAAACCCACUGAUCUAUACACUUUGAAUGGGUAGAUUUUGCAUUACAUACAUUGUGCCUCAAUAAGAAAUAAAUAAGAUUAAACAAAAUAAUAAUAAAGGAGU
rnacentral:lncRNA from 1 species